rnacentral:lncRNA from 1 species
UCUGUUUCUUCAGCUCCUCCAUCUCAACACGACUCAUUCAAUAAGGGGCAACUAAAAUAACCCGGGUGCCUAGCUGAAGAUCUAUGGCGAAUUUAACUUCUCUGUCCACUGGCAGUUCGGGUAGUCCAUCUGGGAACACAUCCGGGAAGUCUCAGACUACCAAAAUCUCUCGAAUACAAAUUUCUUUCUUAGGUUUGCCUAGUUAGAGAAAAGAGCCGAGUUAAAGCACUUAGUAAUAAGAAAAUUACCAUUAGGGAGUAAUGUUUAAAGAGUUUUAUUAAUUUAUAAAUGAUUCUUUAUUAAGAG